rnacentral:rRNA from 1 species
UAGGGAAUCUUCCGCAAUGGACGCAAGUCUGACGGAGCAACGCCGCGUGAGUGAAGAAGGAUUUCGGUUCGUAAAACUCUGUUGUUAGAGAAGAACAGCGCAUAGAGUAACUAUGCACGUCUUGACGGUACCUAAUCAGAAAGCCACGGCUAACUACGUGCCAGCAGCCGCGGUAAUACGUAGGUGGCAAGCGUUAUCCGGAAUUAUUGGGCGUAAAGCGCGCGUAGGCGGUUUUUUAAGUCUGAUGUGAAAGCCCACGGCUCAACCGUGGAGGGUCAUUGGAAACUGGAAAACUUGAGUGCAGAAGAGGAAAGUGGAAUUCCAUGUGUAGCGGUGAAAUGCGCAGAGAUAUGGAGGAACACCAGUGGCGAAGGCGACUUUCUGGUCUGUAACUGACGCUGAUGUGCGAAAGCGUGGGGAUCAAACAGG